rnacentral:lncRNA from 1 species
UAGUAGCAUCUUUGCAAUGUAAUGUGUGUCUCGCUGUCCUCAACGGUCUCAACACAUGGUUUUGUGGAAAACAUUUCUAAGAGGCAGUUUUAGCUCAAGUUCAAUUGCAAUUUCACUAACAUACAAAACCAUGUUGUUGCUUUGCUUUGCUUAACAGCCCACCAAUGUGCCAAGCGGGGAGCAACUGUGGCAGCAAACCCCAAGUCUUGUGUUUGUGCUCACCAUUUUCUCCACCACCUUGAAUGGCACUAUGUUUAAUCAUCCACACAAAUGCCCAAAGACAGAGGGACAGCCACUGCCCUAGCUCAGUUGGUGCCUACCGGUGGCCAGGGUAACGGAACUGCUGACAGGCCAAGCAUUCCAGUGGGAGGGCGCGUCAACUCUGUGAAGCGGUCAAGAGCCUCUGUUCAUACAACUAUGGGUUUGCUGAGCGGCUUUUAAGUGGUGAUGUUCAUCUGAAACAGCAAUCGCCGCAAGCAGCCAAAGCUGACCAUCAUGGAGAGCCAGUAAUUACUACAAGAAGCCAAUGUCUGAUGACUUCAAUAGGAACAGUGUUGACCCGUUUCCCGAUUGCCUCGCAAUUGCAUUGAAGGCAGGUGUGAAGGUGAGCCAUAAUGGGUGGAUUUCUGUGAGAAGAUGCAACAAUAUAAGUGGAGCAUGGCACAAAGUUCAACACUCUGAGUGGGUCAUCAUAUUUCCUUGUCUAGGGAAGAGAGAUGGUAUUUAAGCAGACAUCUUGUGUGUUUAGGGUGUGCUACAACAUGUAGUGUGCUUCGAUUCAGUCAUGUGGACUGCUUAGACAUAAUGGAUUUAGUGUGCUGUAAUGCCAGCUGUAAAUGUGUAACUAAACCCGUUUCUCAACUUAAA